UGCGAGUCGAGAGUCUUAGGGACUCGGCGUACCGCUCAGUAACACGUGGGUAACCUGCCCUAUGCUGGGGAAUAACCUCGGGAAACUGAGAAUAAUGCCCCAUAGUCCACUACGCCUGGAACGGUGAGUGGAUCAAAGCUCCGGCGGCAUAGGAUGGGCCUGCGCCGUAUCAGGUUGUAGGGGGUGUAAAGUACCCUCUAGCCAUCAACGCGUACGGGUGUUGGGAGACAUUGCCCGGAGAUGGAUUCUGAGACACGAAUCCAGACCCUACGGGGUGCAGCAGGCGCGAAAACUUGGCAAUGCGAGCAAUCGUGACCAGGGAACUCCAAGUGCUUGGGGUAAGACCCAAGCUUUUCUUGACUCUUCAAAGGUCUUGGAAUAAGGGGUGGGUAAGGACGGUGCCAGCCGCCGCGGUAAUACCGGCGCCUCAAGUGGUAGUCGCUUUUAUUGGGCCUAAAACGUCCGUAGCCGGUCUGGUGCAUUCGUGGGUAAAUCAACCCGCUCAACGGGUUGAAUUCUGCGAGCACGGCCAGACUUGGGACCGGGAGAGGUGUGGGGUACUCUCAGGGUAGGGGUAAAAUCCUGUCAUCCUGAGAGGACCACCUGUUGCGAAGGCGCCACACUAGAACGGAUCCGACGGUCAGGGACGAAACCUAGGGGCACGAACCGGAUUAGAUACCCGGGUAGUCCUAGGUGUAAACGCUGUGGACUUGAUGUUGGGGGCGCUCCGAGCGCUUUCAGUGUCGAAGCGAAGGUGAUAAGUCCACUGCCUGGGGAGUACGGUCGCAAGGCUGAAACUUAAAAGGAAUUGGCGGGGG
rnacentral:rRNA from 1 species